AAACUUAUUACUUACUUUUUCUCAUCGUUGCCCGUAAGCUUGACCUACCUAUAUAUUUUUAUGUAAUUAUGUUGAAUAUAAAAUUAUUCUUACUAUUUGCAACGUUUACUGGAGUGCUUAGCACUCGGAACUUUCAGGACUUUAUUUACAAAUUUGGUAAGUAAGAUUUCACUGCCAUAAAAAACUGCCAUAGUUAUUAUAAUACAGCCUAUAGCUAAGGUACCUAUCCUAGACCAGGCCUAAGUGAUCGUAACUGAUCACUGAGGUUAAGCAACUUCUGGCACUGUCAGCAAUUGCAUGGGUGACCAAUUUCAAGUUGUUCUUUUCUGGACGCUUCCGGGCUUCGGACGGCACGUUAAGCCGUGGGUCCCACCCGCCCAGAUAACAUGUAAGCUUGCUUCAAGUUUGUUUUUUGUGUGCAAACCUUCUUUCACAAUCUUACAGCAAAUUUGAAAUAAACUUGCCAUAGGAAAUUUGACGUUGCAACUGUAUAUCACACAAAAAACAAACUUGCAGCAAGCUAACAUGUUAUCUGGGUAGCAACAAAUUUAAGUAUUUAAAUCAGGGUAACUACCUAUUUAGCUAUAAACAAGUGUUACGAUGAAUGGUAUGGUAUAGUAGUAGGCAGGUUAGGAGAAGGAUUUUGUAGGUGCUGGAAGGUUUGCUAGUCUUCUGUGAAGUGGACUUGGAGGAAGAUUUCCUGCUGCUGCUGCUCUGGAUGGCCAUCGUCAGGUCGUGUUCGAUGUUGUAAGGGUAAUCAAUAUGGUGGAUCGAAGGUGUUGCAACUCCUCAAUUAAAAAGGAAGGAUCCUCCAACCAAGCUGGACGGUUUAGCUUGGUGGGCGACUGUCCAACGGUUACUUCGGGUUAGGACCAGAUCGCCCGCACUACAUUGAAUUGGGUAGAACGGAGGGCCAGAUAGAACGUCGCCAGACUAAAACAGGUGUAUACUUGAAUCAACUGGCUUCGCCUAGUAUGAUUCGUCACGUGACCGUCACAGUUAUCGGAUCGAGCUUCCUGGACACUCCUGAGUCCGUCUUAUACGACGAAAAAAUCGGCCUCGUCAAAAUAAACUACUCCCUACGCGGCAGUCUCGGAAAGCCGAAACACUACGUCGUCGUGAUUAAGGGAAUAAUUCCAUUUCCGUUAACCAAGAAAACGGGGCCAAAGAGCGGAUAAUCCAACGCUAAAUAAAUUAAUUGAAUACUUAUAUUACUUACAUCAAGGUGGUCCAAAAUAUAUAUAUUAAUACUUA